CUAGGUCUUGUCCCUGACACCUUCACUUGCCCAGCAGAGAAAAGCUGCAGGCGCCCAAAGAGUUGCAAAUAGAGACCUUGCAGGCUGGUCCUUUGCUAAUGCCAUCCUCAAGACAGCAUUGAGUGUGGAUGGAAAGGACUGCAGAGCAGAGAGUUGUUGUGGGGGUCACCUCCUGGGGCUUUCCCAGAUGUCCCACUAUAUGAAAUGCCAUCCUCCUCUCAUCCAUUUCUUUGUGUCUUCCUUACCUUACAGGGAGUGGGAAGUUUUGAAAAGCCAUGUGAGCACAGAGGGGAGAAGUUCUUAGCAGGGGGUGUGCAAUGAAGAAUUUUCUCUCGGUUCUACAGACCUCUGUUGCCUCUCUGACUCUACCCUUCCCACACCGCAGCGCCCAGCCCUGGGCAAGAUGGAACCUGGGACCCAAAAUCUGGCCAGCACAGAGCCCAAAACACACCAGGGCAUCCAUUAUAUGAUAUCAGAAGAGCCUUUACAAACUGUGGAGUGGGACCUGGCGGAAAGAAGCACAGUUCACCUCCAUGGAGGUGGCAAAGGUCUGGGACUGAAGCAGUGAGAGACUCCACUAAUGAAUUCUACUAAUGUGCAAAACCCUGCAUGACAAAGAAGCCCUUGAUCUUCUUCCACACCCUUCCUUUCUUCUAGCCCCUGUAAGGUUUCCAGCUGUAGCUGAGGAUCCAUCUGGGAUGGACAGCACAACUCAGAAGGUGGCAAAAAGUGUGUACUCCUGAAGCGAGACAGAUGGUGAAAAGUGAUGCUCCUGAGAUCCCAUGAAGCAGCCGCACAACAGUCCAGCUCUGCUCAGCAGAGCCACCUCUCCCUGGUGAAGCCGGUGCGGUGCAGAGAUCAAAGCCAAGUCUUCUCCUUCAUGACUUUCCUGUUCCAGAGAAAGUGCUCGACAUGACAGCUGUCUUUGGGAAGAGCCUCCUUUUGCAAAGAGUGAUAGAAGAUGAGAAUUUUGGAUGCCAUUCUGGUUCUCUUAUUUAAAUUUAAAUACACACUAAAUGCCUUCUGAUUGUGGAGAGGUCAUUUGAACACACACACUACAUACCAUCAUCUUUUCUUUUUUUGUGUGUGUAAAAGUUAAAAAACUGAAAGCAGAAAAAUCAACACAAACACAAGAUCCAAAUGCGGUGUAUAAUCCUCCUCUUAUCUGCAUGCCAUUGCUCAAAACAAAUGCAUUAAUGUAUUUUAUGUUUCAUGGUUAUGAGUUGCCCUGAGGAUAAUCAAAUCAAAAUCAAAUGCACCUGCAGAAGAUAAGGUCGCUGAUACAGUUUCCCACCCUUUCCCACUCUGGCUGCUAGUUUCACUGCAAUCACAUUUAUUACUCUCUCUCAGUGUCAUUACUGUUCCUUUAAACAUUUCUUUUCCAUAUGGAUAGAUUAAGUAUAUUUUUUUUUAAGCUGUAUGCUCUGGGGAAAUGAGACUUGCUGACAAAGCUGGAAGUUAUAUAUAUGAUCGUAUGAGUGAGAAACAGCAGGGAGAACUGGAUCACAGUCUCCCAAAGGGAGGAGAGUUCCUCCGAGCAUGGUCUAUUCCAGUGCCCCUCUCUCCACCUCGCCUGCCCCUUAAUCAAGCGAUCAUAUCGACCCCCUCGCUCGUUUCAAUGGGGGAAAAUUUGCAGACAAAUUCCUGCCAGCGGGACGUUGGAGCUCUCCUGGGUGGUGGGAUGAAGAUACCUGUCACCUCCUCACGGCCCCGCCGCCGCUCACGCUGCGAGCGCGGCUGGGGAGCCCGGUGCUGGCUGCGGGGCUGGUCACUGCCAAAUCCCCGUCAGAAAGUGAAAUAAGACCCAGCUCCCCAAUGGCUCGGCAGAGCCAUUGACCAAGGCAAACAACUGUGUAAGUGGUCCCAUAUGCUGUAGGUACAUUAGAGGGACAUAAAUUGUACUUUGUGCUCACGGUGGUGGCAGGUUGCCCCUGCUGUGGAAUUGCUCUCGCCUUUUAUUUAUUAGAGGGGCAGCUACUCUUCCCAAAAGAUGUGAGAGUGACACCGCAGGUCUGAAAACAGGAUCUUAUCCAGCUGAUUUUCCUGUAAGAAAUAUUUGAAGUGAUGCAAACACCAAUGUUUUGGGUGGUGGGUGCUGUUGUUGUGGGUACCUGCCGGGCAGCAGCUCUCUCCUCCAGUCUUUGUCCCUCCACCGCUCCCACAUCACCAAAUGAAGAUUAUAUGGGCAAGGAUAAACAAAGAGCCUGUUCAUACGAGGGAAGUUUUAGGGGCAGAAAGGACUGAAAGGCUCAAGAUACGGCAAGGCUUAAUGCCGUAAAUCUGAUUAAUUUACCUUGUGACAAUUGCAACAAAAAAGCAAAGGCUGGGAGCCAGGACUGUGGGCUGACCUUUUGCUCACAGUGAAAGGCGGCACAAUAGGGGCUGGGGCUGGUCAGGGGAAUGACCCUGCCUGUCACUGCUACCUGCUGCUUCCGACAAUGCCAUCGGACACAGCUCUCAGCGCAAUGAAAAACACCUUCCCGCCAAAGGCCCCUUUCUCCCCCAGCCCUGGAUGGGGCCAGCCCAAGGGUGUUUGGCUUGGGCUGCGCUGCUCUGCUCAGCGUGUAAAUGGGCAUCGCUCACCAGCGUUAAUAUCCACCAGGCAAAGCGCCCCUGGGAAAUUCAGUAUCAGCCCGUGCAUGACCACCCGUAUGGCCGCUGCCUGUGCAGGAGGCGUGGGAGGACUGAGCUGAGCUGCCCAGCAAACGGGGAAAAGCUUGUGAGGGGUUUUGCCCCACCACUGCACAGUGCAGAGCUGAAACCCCAGCCUGUGGGGUGGGAUGAACCUCUGUGCACAGGAGCCGCUGCACCAGGGAUUACCCCGGCCAUAUCUGAAGGCAGCAGCUGUGGGAAAGAGUUUUUCCAUGCAUCCCCUGGAGAGCAUCUUGCUUGGUGCCCUCUCACUGCCCAAUGAGCACAGGAUUUAUUCCUCUCCUCCCCCUCCCUAACCAUGCUCUAAAGCACAUGAGGAGAGUGUGCAUUUCCUUCAGCAGCAGCAGCACAUAGCAGUGGGAACAUCUGGCUCAGAGGCAUCCCAGAAUAGGAAGCAGGCUUAAGUUUCGCUCAACAGAAAUUUAUUUAUCUGAGGAAUUAACCUUUGUGUUCAAUACUUGUUCUCCAGACUUGUCUUUGUCUCCAGCACCUGCUUUGCCCUGAGGAGCAGCCAUUCCCUCCAGGUACCACUUCUUGCUUGAUUGAAAAGGGGCUGGAGAGAACUUCAGGUGGGGAACAGAAGAUCUUUGUGUGCCCCUGCACCCCAGGCAGUGCCUGGCUGUGCCCAGCAUCCUCCCGGCCCCACUCCCUGUCAGGAAAGCAAGACAGAGUGGUCUUGUACCCCCGACAUCUCAAGAUCUCUUCUUUACACUGUGACAAUUUGGCUUGUUUCCACAGAGUCACUAUCACGAGGAAAUUUUGGGGGGUUUCACCAUUUAUUUUAGUUCCAUUAGCAUUUAAAAGAUGAAAAACUUAAAAAGCAGGUGAAAAAUAACUCUACAUCUUAAUCGGAUCAUAUACCACUCAGGCAAUGAUUUUAAAUGCCUUAGCCAGUAUCUCCUGGUAUGCAUCAAAAAUAAACAGUUAAUAAAGGUGUUUUGACUGGAACAUCUGCUGCAAUUUUUAGUUGUGGAGGCUUAAUUGCAGACUAGAGUAUCAAACUUUCAGAGGGUUUGAGGACAGAGAUUGAUUUGGGUCACCAGGUUAUUUGGAAUAAAAUCCCAACCCUUAUCUCUCAAAUGCAGUGUCCAAUUGAUUUUCUCUGGACCAUUACCCACCGCACACUGCCACGAAGCCCAGGAGGGGAGUGGCAGAACAUCACGCUUCUCAAAACCCUUUUGAAGCAAACUACUGCAGUUCUUUGAGAGCUUUUUGGAAGGGACAGCUUUUCCCCAGAAGGACUGAUGAAUAGGUGACAAAACCAUCGUGACAAAGGCUCUGCCAUUUUCUAAACUCGGGCUGUAUCCAGAGAGGUGUUGCUACCCCCAGGACUGCACUUGCAAAGCACCCGGUCACAUGUGAUGGGCCUGGGUGAUUAAAAACACCAACUGCGGUUCAGACAAACCCAGCACUUCUAUACAAACUGCUGAAUUCCAUUUAUUCCAGCAUUUCAGUCUGUAAAACUGGGAAGAGCUUCGGUCUGUGAGCAGAGCUGGCAAAGGUGGGGAUGCGUGUGGUGCAAUUUGCUUAACAGCAAAAUACUUUCAGGUGAAAGAGAGCUCUUCACACCAAAGCUGUGGUUCACUACCCACUAAGUCCCAGGCAGCUUGGAUUUGCCAAUCAAAUCACUUUUAAUCAAAUUGCCAACACCAGUCCUGGUUGCCUUCCCCAACACAGCCUGGAGCUUUGCUGCCUUGGGAAAGCAGACUUCAGCAGUCAAGCCAGCCCUGUCUCCUCACUGUGAAAUCUCAGGCUUUCUGGCAUCCUCCUUUGGUUGAUGAGGAUUUCCCCCACCUCCUGGUGGAAGCAAGCUGGGGUGCAGCCUCCCAGGGACAGGCAAAGGGUCGGCUGCUGGAGGUGAGAGCAGCACAGGAUUGACACCAACGUUGAACACAGACAGCUGUUUUCAGCCUUCCAGUGGUUUCUCUGUGAAACUCCUCUUUCCCACGCAUCAUGUCUAUCCGCAGGUUGCACAGAAUACGUUGAGCUCUACAAGCCUCGCUCUAGAAUGCUCAUUUCUGCCUUCAAAUAUUUUUUGUGAUUCUCUUGGUACUCGCCUGUGUUUCAGCACACUGUGAGCAUCCAAAGAUGGUAAGUACUUUCCCAGGACUGCUCUCUCCUUGCAGUCCCAGAACCUCCAAGGUGUUUAGCCACAGUAGCAUCACUCUGUUGGAGCCAAAUCCUUCCAAGAACCAGAAAGUCUUCAGUCUUCACCCUGAGCCCUCUCCUUGCCUCAACUCCCCAUCUCUAGCAUGUAGCAUUGUCUUAAAUAUUUAUCCCCCGCUCUCACUGGCAUGCUUGAAAGCUGAAUUCAUAAUUAAAUAUUAGCUCCUCUUUAAAGGCCAGUUGUUAGUCAAAGGCAUUGGAAUACUUUGCCCUCUGCAUCUGUUUCUGGCAAGCUGAUGCCCUGAAUAAACUAAGCAGAGCCUGCUAGUGGUGGUCAAUGAUGCACAGAGCAUUUCCUCAGCGCAUCCCCUGGUAUCUGCCCUGCUGCCUGUGGCAAAUGCGGACUCCUGCUCCACAACCCAGACCUGGGUUUCAGAACCCCCUUGGACAGCAUUGCUGGGGUCUCCAGGGUAUCCUGGACUAAGCCUGAAACUGCUCCUGUUCUUUGAAGAUGCAAAGUGCCCUUGCUGACAAUCCCCAGCCUUUGAGACCGCAGAACAGAGCUGGAAACCUGGUGAGAUAAAGCUACUUUGUGAUCAUCAGUGCCUUUGUUAUGCACCGAGGCUGCCAACACAAUUGCAAUAUCCCUUAUCAAGUGCUUAGCCCAACCUGCCUGGGAAAGCCUUGGGAGGUGAGGGACAUGGCUGACAGACCAUUCCGUAGCCCUGAAAAUGGAAAACCUAAAACCAAGCAAGCCCCAAGAAUAUAUAGAAUAUAUAGAAUAUUAAUUUUGCACUAUAGAAUAUGACUUUUGCACCUAUCAUCUGCUUUUGCUUCCUGAUCUACAUCUUCUACCCCAAGCUCGGUUCACGUUUGCUCAGCACUUCUGCUUAUCCUGAUGUUAAUUAUUCCUGGAAAUGGCAACCUCUCUCCAAGGUUACUGUCACCAUCUCUGCUAAGAAACCCAGGAGCCCAGGUCUGGUCUCUGGAGUGAUGUUUGGAGCAGUAGCUACAUCUGACUGCAAUGGUAUUUCAUUCUGAGCAAAAAAAAAAGGACCCUUCAACUUGUUUUCUCCCCCCCCCACCCCUCUCCUGGAGGAGAUAUUUGCCAAGACUCACAGAUGGGAUCAUUUACAGUUUCCUUUUGAGCUGCCUUGGCCCUUUCAGGUUUUGUUUAUCUGAGCUGGGCUCUCAAACAGAGGAGGGUGGGAUGGAGAAGGCCUCUCUGCCGUAUUCCGAUUUGGACUGAGGUUGCUCAAGUUCCCCAUCUGACAGAAGAUGAUUGAUGAGAGCAAUGCUGGCUGUAAAACUGGCAGGGUUUGGAGACCCAGCAACUCUGCUCUUUGCAGGGCCUUAAAUCCCAGUUGUCAGAGCAAUCCGGGGAAUGGCAUCCCGGGGUAAUUACACACCAACAACAGGAAAAGCCAUUGGAAAUAGCAGGCACUCCGGAGCUGGUUGCAGUGGGACAGCUAGAGGGGAUUUUGGGGUUUUUUUUUGUUUGCUUUGUGAAAACACGAACACAUGGUCUUGAGCUGAGACUGAAACAUGCUUACAAAAAGCAGGGUCUAGAGAGGAUGGGAUGAUGUGCAGCCUGGAAAGCUGCUGGAAGAGCCUGGGAGCUCCACAGAGAGGAGGAAGUCAUUGCUACAUGCAAAAUCUUCGGAAGUUAUCCCCGUGGCAAUGGGCGAAAUACACACUUGUUAAGAGCAGUAGCUCUUGAUCAAUGAAACCAGUAGUGACAGCACUGGUACCCCCGAUGGCCAGAGCUCCCUGCAGCCUCCUGUCCUGCAAACAGCUCUCAUUGUACAAGUGUCAGCCUCAGUUUCCCCAAAACAAGGCUUGGAGGAAAAGGCCUCCAGGAGAGGAGGAGAUCCCUGUUCAACUCUUCGGCCCUGGCAAUGAGGAUGGGAGGCAUGGGGGAAUGCCACUGCAGAUGAGCCAGGAUGGUGGUAUGACUUGAUCAGCAAAGGUCUUCAGGGGAUGCUUACAGGAAAGCUUAACUUUGGUCUGGCACAUGUGCUAGGAGUUGCUUUCAGCCAAAAAGAUUCAGCAGCGUCUUUUGUCAAGCCUUAUUUGAGUACGGUUGUGCUCCCAAGCCACCAAGGGGUUGAAAGGUGUGCAAGGGCUGUACGAGAUGGGGGUGCCUGUGCCCACACUGAUAGCUACUGUAUUGUGUACUGGGUCACCAGUUUCUCCAGAUGGAGAGUGGCUGACAUGGACUGGCACUGUUUUCCAUUGCUGCUGCUGAACAGACCUGUCCUGGUGUUAGACUUGCUGAGCUACAGGCUGCAUGACCUGGGUUCAGUCUCCAAGAGCUUUAUUCAAAGCUGUAAACACCCUGAAGCCUUUAGACUGGAGAUUUAACAAAACCAGGAGAGCUGAGCUGAAAGAAAGCAGCCAGGGGUGAAGCAAGGCCCUAAACUAGAUGCACUUAGAGUAGCUGUUCCAGUUAGACAGGAUGAUUCCAUGGGUCUGGGAUGAGAAGGAGGGGAUUUCCCCUCCCUCUGCCUGUGCUGCUGGUUUAAAUCCAACCACAACUGAGCAGUAAAUAAGAGUUACUGCCUGGCAGCUGCCAGGUGACCUGUGUGCAGUCAGUGAGUGCUGGCCACACAGCCCUGCAGACAUCAGCAGCGGAGGAAAUCUGGAUUGGAAAGUAUAUUUUCUUUGGGAAUGUGCUCUUGUUUGGGUGAGCCCUGCAGUGCUCCCUGCACCCCAGCACUGCAGAGGCAUCCCGGGAUGCAGUGAUGCCACACACCAGCACUGCAGAGGCAUCCCAGGAUGCAGUGAUGCUGCAUCCCAGCACUGCAGAGGCAUCCUGGGAUGCAGUGAUGCCACACACCAGCACUGCAGAGGCAUCCCGGGAUGUAGUUCUGCCAUCCAGCACAACAGCAAGUGUUUGCACGUCUGCUCAGCAGUCAGGAUACAUGGGGCCAGCGGCAGAGCAGCAUCAGUGGGACUGCGCAACUGAAAGAGCUGUGGUUAAAAGGGAACCUUGCAACACUGCUGAGCAAUCUGUAAUCAGCAAAAGAGUGGUGGUGCUGUGGCUGGUCAUAACUGCUUUGGUGGCAGUUGGGUUUCUCCUGUGAGGCAGAGUAAAUGUUUCAAUACAGGGAGGAUGGUAAAUAUCUGACAGUUCCCUGGUGUCUCGCAGACCUGAACGACAGAGGGGGAUUUGAGGAGAUAUUCGAAGGGCAGAGCAGAUUUUUUAUAAGGAACUUCCUCUCCUGGACAGAUGGGACAAAAGGGGACAAAGCCAAGCAAAAACACAUGGCUGCUUAUUUACCACUUAUAUUCAGGAGAGCUGAGCCAUACACACCUCCCACUGUGCCGAGGCUGCACAAACACAUGAGGAGACUCAGGUCCUGCCCCAGAGCUUCCAGUCUAAGAUGAGGAAUUAAAACAAAACAAAACAAAACCCACAAACCACCAAACUCAGAGGAGUAGCAGCUUUGAAAUCUCUCUGCAGAUCUCCAUCUGGUAAAAGAAGUGCAGACAGGGGCAUGUUCUCUCCACAUCAGCUGCACAGCGAGAGCGGCUUAGAUGAACUCUCCUGGCUGGUAAUAAAAUGAUUUUACAUAUGUAGGAAGCAGGAUGUGCAAAGCCCAGGAGUCUGAUCUUGUUUCUGAGAUCAAACAGAGUCUUAUUGUACAGGGGUGUGGAGCUGAUGUAACUGUCUAGUGUGCCGGACACAAUCGCCGUGGUUACGCAGCUGGACCGGAAUAAAGCAAGUCUGUAUCUGAACUCAUUAAUUUUUACAACCAA